rnacentral:rRNA from 1 species
GCAGUCGAGGGGUAACAGGAGUUAGUUUACUAGAUUGCUGACGACCGGCGCACGGGAGAGUAACGCGUAUACAAUUUGCCUUUUACUGAAGAAUAGCCCAGAGAAAUUUGGAUUAAUGCUUCAUAGUAUUAUUUGGUCACCUGGCCGAGUAAUUAAAGCUCCGGCGGUAAAAGAUGAGUAUGCGUCCUAUUAGCUAGAUGGUAAGGCAACGGCUUACCAUGGCGACGAUAGGUAGGGGUCCUGAGAGGGAGAUCCCCCACACUGGUACUGAGACACGGACCAGACUCCUACGGGAGGCAGCAGCGAGGAAUAUUGGGCAAUGGAGGCAACUCUGACCCAGCCAUGCCGCGUGCAGGAAGACGGCCCUAUGGGCUGUAAACUGCUUUUAUACAGGAAGAAACUUAUCCACGUGUGGAUAACUGACGGGACUGUAAGAAUAAGGACCGGCUAACUCCGUGCCAGCAGCCGCGGGAAUACGGAGGGUCCAAGCGUUAUCCGGAAUCAUUGGGUUUAAAGGGUCCGUAGGCGGGCAAUUAAGUCAGAGGUGAAAUCCCACAGCUCAACUGUGGAACUGCCUUUGAUACUGGUUGUCUUGAGUUACAGUGAAGUAGAUAGAAUAUGUAGUGUAGCGGUGAAAUGACGCUUUUGAUCCAUGAUCACAUCUGGUUGUAUGAUCAAAUCAGCCACUUCAUCAAAUCGUGGUUUACUAUCUGUAAUCUCUCAAUCAUUAUGUUUGAAUUAUCCUGUAAAUUUAACACUUUUUAAUCUUAGAUAGGCAUCAAGAAUGAAUUAGUGUAAUUAUAUUACUCUAUAU